AUUGAACGCUGGCGGAAUGCUUUACACAUGCAAGUCGAACGGCAGCACGGGGGCAACCCUGGUGGCGAGUGGCGAACGGGUGAGUAAUACAUCGGAACGUGCCCGGUCGUGGGGGAUAACGUAGCGAAAGUUACGCUAAUACCGCAUACGAUCUGAGGAUGAAAGCGGGGGACCUUCGGGCCCCGCGCGAUCGGAGCGGCCGAUGUCAGAUUAGGUAGUUGGUGGGGUAAAGGCCUACCAAGCCGACGAUCUGUAGCUGGUCUGAGAGGACGACCAGCCACACUGGGACUGAGACACGGCCCAGACUCCUACGGGAGGCAGCAGUGGGGAAUUUUGGACAAUGGGCGCAAGCCUGAUCCAGCCAUUCCGCGUGCAGGACGAAGGCCUUCGGGUUGUAAACUGCUUUUGUAUGGAACGAAAAGGCUCUGGCUAAUACCUGGGGCUCAUGACGGUACCGUAAGAAUAAGCACCGGCUAACUACGUG
rnacentral:rRNA from 1 species